rnacentral:lncRNA from 1 species
GCUGGCAUAUCACUAGUCGACUUAACCCAACUUGAACAACCUUUCUAUUCCAGGUACGUGUACAAGUAUGUAUAUCCUUUUACAAUAUGCAAAUCAUGCAUUUAGAUACCAUAACGUGAUACAAUGACAUUGAUCAAUCAUAAGCUUAUAAAGCAUGCAUGCAUGAGCGAGGGAGCCCAUGCAAACGCCUGACAUAUGAACUGUAACAGUGCGCGCGUAUGACAUGCAAUAGCUACGAGUAAAUCGAUGGAUAGAUGGAUCACAUGGGGCAGGUGAAGUUGGCGGGGCACUUCUUGCCGCACUGGUUGAGUNNNNNNNNNNGGUUCGAUUUGAAAUUGUCCAUUAAGAUGAAACCAAUAUAGGAUUUAAUCUUCCCAGCCACACGAUGCGGAUGAUGCAAAUUCUCACCAUUUCUUAUAUUAUUUCUUUUAUCCGAGAUGUGCCAUAUAGCCACAGUAAAGUACAAUGCGUGAAGAUCUGGUGCAACAUUUAUCCAUUCUAGCAAUCAUUGAUGAAUAUUGAUAAACCUUUUUAGAUUUAGCACGAUAUGAAAAGACCUUUCAUAGUUUGCCCAAAAAUUCUUUGACAUAAUGGGAAAAGAAGAAACAAUGUUCCACAGUCUCAACUCUAUUACAGAUAAAACACUCAUACCUCGUAGGAAAUGUUCCACAGUUUCAUCAAUGUUCCUCACCAGUAGGUAAAAAAUUACGAACCAUUCUCCAUAAGAUGAUCUUCAUUCUAUUUGGACUUUGUAUUUCGAGUUUUUGCUCUAUAUUUUUCCUGUUUCCUCCAUGUUCGAGGCUGAUCCUCUUCCAUCAGAGCUCUAGUACAUCCAGAACGAUAAGGAUUUUGCAAGGUUAUACCGAGACAAUAUAGUGUAGGUGCCUCCAUUCGUGUAUGGCCAUGAUGCGAAAUCUCAGCACCCUUAUGAACUUAGAGGGAUCUUUAGGAUCUUUACAACCAGGUUUUUUGGAAACAUUUCACUAACAACCACACUGUUUCAUGAUUUACCAUCAGUUAAAAACAAAUGGUUCGCAGUCUUAUCCUCCUCCACCGGGAAAUUUGUACAAAGUAUGCCACGAAAUGAGUGUGGGAUCCAAUUAUCUUAAAUCAAAGAUAUUUGCUUUCCGUCUCCUAAUUGCAAGAAUAAGCCGUUUUGAAGGAGUUUCUUACCAAAUAAUAUGCUGCGCCAUGUGUGGGAAGCUGAUCUUGGGCAUCCUGAUCUCCAAAAAUCUCCAUGCGGGAAAUACCUUCCUUCUAAUACCUUGAAGCAUAAUGAAUUGGGGUUCACUAAGAGCCUACAGCACUGCUUUGCAAGCAUGGCUUGAUUAAAAAUCACCAAGUCCCUGAAUCCCAUUCCUCCAAGAUACUUGGGCGAGGAUAGCCAAUUAGAGGACCUCCAAUGAAUUUUUUCCUCCCAUCUUCCAUUCCCCACCAUACUGGAGAUAGGUCUAUUCAUGUUCUCACAUAUUGAUAUUGGAAUUUGGAAGCAGCACAUUACAUAUGUCCGGAUGGCUUGAGCCACCGACUUUAGAAGUACUUCUCUACCUUCUCUGGAUAACAGUCUUAUCAUUCCACCCAUUUAAUAUCCUCCAUAGCCUCCGAGUGAGGAAAUUAAAAUUGCUUGUUGUAGAGCAUCCCACCCAAGAAGGCAUGCCAAGGUAAGUGGCUUGUAGAGACUCAUCUCGGACUCCUACCAUGUUCUUUACUCGUUCCUUCACCCGAUUGUCACAAUGAUGUCCAAAGAAGAUAUAUGACUUGUGCAAGUUGAUUUUCUGACUAGAGCCUUUGUAGUACGUCUCAAGAGCGAUUUUAAGUAUGUUUGUGCUUCUAUUGUCGCCCUUCACAAAAAAUAUGCUAUCAUCAUCAAAUAAGAGGUGGUAAAUAGGAUNNNNNNNNNNUUGAUGUCCAAAGAAGAUAUAUGACUUGUGCAAGUUGAUUUUCUGACCAGAGCCUUUGUAGUAGGUCUCAAGAGCAAUUUUAAGUAUGUUUGUGCUUCUAUUGUCUCCCGUCACAAAAAAUAUGCUAUCAUCAUCAAAUAAGAGGUGGUAAAUAGGAUGGCCUGCUUUUCUGUUCUUGAUUUCUCUAAUGUCCCUUAUUGCUUCUUUUAACUGUAGAAGACAAGAUAAACCUUCAGGACAUAAUAAAAAUAAGUAUGGGCUGAUGGGAUCACCCUGACAUAUGCCUCUAGUAGGUAUGAAAGGGCCAGUUAAGUUCCCAUUUACUUUGACUGCAUAUUGUAUAGAGGUCACACACCUCAUCACCGAUUCUAACUAGUUUCAAAUAAAGCCAAAUUUAACAAGAACCCCUUUCAAAUAAGGCCAUUCAACUCUAUCAUACACUAGUAGAAAAGAGGGCUUUGGUCCACUUGAUAAAAUCCCAUUAGUCUUGGGCCGACCCAUGUGGGAGGCGGGACACCAAUGUUUUUUUUUUAUAUAUUUCCUUUUUUCUUUUCUGUAUUUGUAUUUUCUAUUUUAAAAUAAUUCAGGAUUACAAAAUGUUUCCAUUUUCAGGAAAUAGAGAAAUAAAAAUAUUUUGAGAAAUCAUAAAUAUUCGUGAAUUCGUGAAAUGUGCAUGUUUUUGAAAAACAUUUGGGAAGUCAUAAAAUUUUCAAAUUUAAAAGAAUUCAUGAUUUUCAAACAAAUCUUUGCAUAUUCAAAGAUCUUUCAUGNNNNNNNNNNGAAAUCCCAUUAGUCUUGGGCCGACCCAUGUGGGAGGCGGGACACCACUGUUUUUUUUAUAUAUUUUUCCUUUUUUUCUUUUCUGUAUUUGUAUUUUCUAUUUUAAAAUAAUUCAAGAUUAUAAAUUUUUUCCAUUUUCAGGAAAUAGAGAAAUAAAAAUAUAUUUGAGAAAUCAUAAAUAUUCGUGAAUUCAUGAAAUGUGCAUGUUUUUUAAAAACAUUUGGGAAGUCAUAAAAUUUUCAAAUUUAAAAUAAUUCAUGAUUUUCAAACAAAUCUUUGCAUAUUCAAAGAUCUUUCAUGAUUUUGAAAAAAAGUCCGGGAAAGAAAUAAAGUGUGUGGGUUCAAAAACAAUUAUUAAAGAUGGAAGAAGUUCAUGAAUUAAAACAAUAUUCACGAUUCUGUAAAAAAUGUCCAUAAAAAAUGUAUUUCAGUUUAAAUUGUCCCUGAAUUUCGAAGUUCAUCNNNNNNNNNNAAAAAGUGUGUGGGUUCAAAAACAAUUCUUAAAGAUGGAAGAAGUUCAUGAAUUAAAACAAUAUUCAUGAUUCUGUAAAAAAUGUCCGUAAAAAAUGUAUUUCAGUUUAAAUUGUCCCUGAAUUUCGAAGUUCAUCAAUUGAAAAGAGGUUUGCUGAAUGAAAGUAUGUUCAUGGUUUUCAAAAACAAAUUUAUUAAAAAAAUUGUGAUCUUCAAAAAGUUUUUCCAAAAUAUAAAAAUAUUUAUCAAUUCAAAACAAUUGGUUUAACUUUAAAAAAAUGUUCAUGAUUUCAAAUAAUGUCCGAGAAUAUGCAAAAAAUACGAAUAUAAAAAAUGUACACGUUUCAAAACAUGUCCAUAAAUUGAAAAAAUGUUUAUGAUUUCCAAAUGUGUUCACAAUUUUGAUAUUUUUUCAAUAUUUGUUUUUUUUGAAAAAGACAGGAAAAUUGAAAUUGGAAAUAAUGAAAAAUAUAAUAAAANNNNNNNNNNUCACGUUUCAAAACAUGUCCAUAAAUUGAAAAAAUAUUCAUGAUUUCGAAAUGUGUUCACAAUUUUGAUUUUUUUUUCAAUAUUUGUUUUUUUAAAAAGACAGGAAAAUUGAAAUUGGAAAUAAUGAAAAAUAUAAUAAAAGGCAAACAAGAAAAAAAAUGAGAAAUGAAAAAUUAAAAUGAAAAUGACAUAAUAAAAGAAAAUCAAAAAUAGAAAAGAAAGUGGAAAAGGAGAAAUACGAAAAUGAGAAAGAUAUAGAAAAAUAAAAAGAAGCAACAAAGAAGAAGAAAAUAAAAACUGACUCAACGAAGGUUCUAGAACUUCCGCCAACUGAAAAGAAAAAAAACUAGACUAGGAUGGUCCAAACGCGGGACAAUCUCGGGAGGGGGCUAUGCACCAGCUUGCUAUAGAGCGACCUACAUGCCAAAUNNNNNNNNNNUACUUCCGCCAACUGAAAGGAAAAAAAAUAGACUAGGAUGGUCCAAACGCGGGACAAUCUCAGGAGGGGGCUAUGCACCAGCUUGCUAUAGAGCGACCUACAUGCCAAAUUGGAACAAGAAAGCAAGACAUAGUCAUGCCACAUACGCUUGGUUGUCUCAUGGCAAUCGACAGGUAGCCCCUUGACUAUGUGCCAAGCCACACAUGUAGGUUGUAUCACUAAAGGCUUAAUUAUUCAGCCCGGCGUCAUCGCGCACUUGAGUAUUUCUUUCCUGUGUGGUCUAGAUGGGCUUGAUUUGUGGUCGUGGAUGACACCGUGAAGACCUCUUAUGGCAAGGCCAAGUGCACCGUACUCAUCCAGGCCUCGUAUGAAUAACCUCUUUUUCCUCUUAAUUCUCUUGUUUUAAUACUUCUCCUAGUUUCUAAUUUCUUCUUGUUUCGAAAUUUCAGACAAGCAUGGCAGGUUUGGGCUUGAUCUGAAGAUUUUCUUCCUCGGACCGUAACAGAAUUUGGUUUGUUCAAGAAGCUCAAGUAAGUCUUCUUUUUACCAGCAAAAGAAAGAAGCUCAUGUAAGUAUUUUUCUUAAGAUCUUUUAACCCAAGAAAGGAUAUGUGUCCUUGUUGCUCAAUCGUUUUUCCGAUCUCCGACUAAGACAUCCUGAUAAGAACGGCGCCCAAAUAUUUCACAUGAACAUGGUUCCUAUAUACAAGCUAUACAUUAUGUUUCAAAAGUAUGACAUAUAUAAAUAUGCCAAGUUCUGUUGCUUUCAUGCUUAGCACNNNNNNNNNNGAUCCUGACAAGAACGGGGCCCAAAUGUUUCACAUGACCAUGGUUCCUAUAUACAAGCUAUACAUUAUGUUUCAAAAAUAUGACAUAUAUAAAUAUGCCAAGUUCUGUUGCUUUCAUGCUUAGCACCUUUGGUUAACACCCCCAGGAUAGCAGGUAUACAUUUUUAACCAGGGUAGUUAUAAUUAAUCUUUUUUGCUUCCGAGCACCCAUUGUAUAUAGAGAGAUUUACACUAGGAUGUCAAUACCAUCUGUAUAUUUUGUUGUUGUUGACACUGCCUUAUCAAACUAAAUAAACAAAAANNNNNNNNNNNNNNNNNNNNNNNNNNNNNNNNNNNNNNNNNNNNNNNNNNNNNNNNNNNNNNNNNNNNNNNNNNNNNNNNNNNNNNNNNNNNNNNNNNNNUCCGACGGCCACCUUCAUGGAUAUGUUCUUGAAUUUCUGAUGAAGUUCACAUGAUGUUGAAUCCUUGAUUCCAUCCACGGGGUAGCCGGGACCGCCCUCUAUCAUUCUUCGUUCAUCGGCGGGCGGGGCCUCAGAUUCAGCCACGCUGCUUUUCCGCUUAGAUGGGGCACCGGUAAUAUCAAGUGCAGGAUCUUCCUGGCGCGGUACUCCUCUAAGCUCAUCAAUCUUCUUCUGUUGCUCGUUAAUCCUGGCAAGCAACUGGUUGAACUUGUCAUUCUCCUCAUCCUGCUUCCGCUUCUGUGCUCUCUCUCGGCUUCUGUAAGUGUCUUGGUCUCUGGCAAACCCAAGCCACCACGGGUAAGAUGGACCGAAGCCUCGCAUUCGUCCUCCAUGUUCGUCAUUGCCGAGGACCAGUGUGAGCAAAUCUUUAUCUCUAUCUGCAGUGAACUUUCUUUGUCCCUCCUUAAUUUCUUUCACUAUCCUUUUCCAAUUCUCCCUGGGUAUCCUAAGAUUGUCAUUGCAGAUGAGGUCCCCUGUUUUUUCGUCGCACGACCCACCAUGCGCAAGGAACCAAUUUCUUGCUCUCCAUUCCCACUCAUCACGGAGUGGUUCAGGUACGAUGCCUUUAUCUAUCAGAUCUUGCUCUUUCUUUUCCCACUUUGGGAUCGCAGUCUCAUAGCCCCCUGGCCCCAGCUUGUGGUUAUAUAUCUUCUUGUCGGCAUUUAUCUUGUUCUUUUCUGAUAAUGCCUGGGCAUNNNNNNNNNNCCCUGGCCCCAGCUUGUGGUGAUAUUUCUUCUUGUCGGCAUUUAUCUUGUUCUUUUCUGAUAAUGCCUGGGCAUCUUCUCACUCCUUGUACUCUUGAAAUUCCUUCCAGUGAUUCGCAUGCUUGGCUAGAUACCCCUCGAAUACUGGCACUUUCUUUGUCGUCAGAUAGUUUUUCCAUAGCUUCUUCUUCCAGCUACGGAAUAGUUCGGCCAUCUUCUUUAGAGUCGACUGCUUGACUUUGGCCCUCAGUUUGUCUGCGGCGUCUUCAUUCUCACAUUCUGGCAGGUUGAAAUGUGACAUGAUAUCAUUCCAAAGACUAUCUUUGUACCUUUCGACGACAUAGUCACUAUCGGCUGCCCCUUUGCGCUUGUUCCACUCCCGAACGCUGAUCGGGACGUGAUACCUAACGAGAACUCCGCAUUGCUUCUUGAAUGUGUCAGCAUCAUUCUUAGGAAGCUUGGGUUCACCCGUAGGCAUUAUCAGCUCAAAGGUGUAAUGCGUCNNNNNNNNNNNNNNNNNNNNNNNNNNNNNNNNNNNNNNNNNNNNNNNNNNNNNNNNNNNNNNNNNNNNNNNNNNNNNNNNNNNNNNNNNNNNNNNNNNNNNNNNNNNNNNNNNNNNNNNNNNNNNNNNNNNNNNNNNNNNNNNNUGGAGGCCUAAGAGGGAGAAACAUUCGUCAAAUGAAUGUAUAUGUAUAGAAUAUAGAGCUAUCUCCAAUAUUUUUCACAUAUUACAAGUGAUUGUCGAACUUCAUAUGUAUACCUCGCCGGACUUUAUUAUUUCUUCACCGGCUUAUCCACCGGCUUCUUCAUCAGUGGAGCUAUCACCUUCUCCAUCAUUGGACCUAUCUCCUUUUUCUUCUUUUCUUCUCCUUUUUCUUCUUUUCUUCUCCUUUUUCUUCUUUUCUUCUCUUUUUCCUUCCUUUCUUCUCCUUUUUCUUCUUUUCUUCUCUUUUUCCUUCCUUUCUUCUCCUUUUUCUUCUUUUCUUCUCUUUUUUCUUCUUUGCUUGUGCUGGCCGGAGUGUUGGGGAGGAGGGGGCAUGGGGCUUACCGGCCGGAGGUGUCGACGGCGCGCGGCGAGGAGGACGGCGGCGCGCGGCGAGGAGGACGGGGCGACUCGCGGCGAGCAGGACGGCGGCGGCGAGUANNNNNNNNNNGCCCCAUCGGCUUCAUCUUCGUGUCGCUCGACCUCCAUUCCAUAUCCAUAGUCGUUUAGAUAUGACGUCGGAGAUUCAGCUGGUUCAACGUCGGGGCCGUCUUUGAUUAUAUCUUCGAGAAGUUCUUCCUCUUCGAGGUUCCUGAUAUGUGGAUCCAUAGUUCUGCAAAAAACGGACAUUUGAUUAACUAAUAAACUAACAAACUAUAUAAGAGGGGUUGGAAACUUCGAAGGCUCGUUUUAUAUAGGAGGACCUUUAGUCCCGGGUCUUGGCUAGAACCUAAACUCUAAAAUACCAGCCGGGCGGAGCCCAGUCCCGGACACUUAAGCAUAUACAAUAGCAAAAUUAAACUAGUUCUAUUAAUUUUCUUGCUAAAAAUAAACUAUUAACACUUAAGCAUAUACAAUAGAAAAAUUAAACUAUUAACAAUUAAGCAUAUACAAUAGCAAAAUUAAGCAAUAAUCUAAGAAACACUAUUAACACUUAAGCAUAUACACUAUACAAUAGCAAAAUUAAAUGACAAAAAAAAUAGUUCUUCUUCUUGUAACCCUAAACUAAUUUUUCCUCUUCUUCUAUUUGUCCUCUUCUUCUACUUCUUCUUCUACUUCUACUUCUCCUCUUCUUCUACUACUUCUCCUCUCCUCUUCUUCUAUUUUUCCUCUUCUUCUCCUCUCCUCCUCUUCUUAUUCUCCUUUUUCUUCUUUUCUUCUCCUCCUCUUCUUAUUCUCCUUUUUCUUCCUUUCUUCUCCUUUUUCUUCCUUUCUUCUAUUUUUCUUCCUUUCUUCUCCUUUUUCUUCCUUUCUUCUCCUUUUUCUUCUUUUCUUCUCCUUUUCCUUCCUUUCUUCUCCUUUUUCUUCUUUUCUUCUCUUUUUUAUUCCUUUCUUCUCCUUUUUCUUCCUUUCUUCUCCUUUUUCUUCUUUGCUUGUGCUGGCCGGAGUGUUGGGGAGGAGGGGGUGUGGGGCUUACCGGCCGGAGGUGUCGACGGCGUGCGGCGAGGAGGACGGCGGCGAGCGGCGAGGAGGACGGCGGCGCGCGGCGAGGAGGGCGGCGCGCGGCGAGCAGGACGANNNNNNNNNNNNNNNNNNNNNNNNNNNNNNNNNNNNNNNNNNNNNNNNNNNNNNNNNNNNNNNNNNNNNNNNNNNNNNNNNNNNNNNNNNNNNNNNNNNNCCCGAGUGCGACUUUUAGUGCACACUCGGAGAAAGUUAAUACUUAGGCGAUUCUNNNNNNNNNNGAGUGUAUCUGUAGGAUACACUCGAAGGCAAUUGAGUACUUAGGCGAUUCGUGAUCGCGGCUAAGUCUUCGAGUGCGACUGUAAGGUCGUGCUCAGAGCGAGUUUUUACUCAUGUAAUUGUUAGUGGUGUUGACAUCUACAUGAGCCUCAAUGAGGUUCUGCUACUCAUGUAAUUGUCAGUUGUCUUGACAUCUACAUGAGCCUCACUGAGGGUCUGUUGAGUCCCCAAGUUUAUCUGUAGGAUACACUCAAAGGCAAUUGAGUACUUAGGCGAUUCUGAUCGCGGCUAAGUCUUUGACUGCGACUGUAAGGUCGUGCUCGGAGCGAGUUGUUACUCAUGUAAUUGUCAGUGGUCUUGACAUCUACAUGAGCCUCAAUGAGGUUCUGCUACUCAUGGAAUUGUCAGUUGUCUUGACAUCUACAUGAGCCUCACUGAGGGUCUGUUGAGUCCCCNNNNNNNNNNNNNNNNNNNNNNNNNNNNNNNNNNNNNNNNNNNNNNNNNNNNNNNNNNNNNNNNNNNNNNNNNNNNNNNNNNNNNNNNNNNNNNNNNNNNAGUCUACACUUCUUAAUAUGUCCGAUAGAAAUAUUAAGAUUGAGGCUGAGAAGAAGGUGCAAACUCUUCUCACAGAGAGGAGAUGAAAUGGGCCCUUUGAGCAAAGGUGGCGAAGGUGGACCAUGGAGAUGAUAAAACACAAUUCUUUCACAUGAUUGGGAAUGGCAAACAUAGGAAGAAGAAAAUAAUUCUACUUGAACACGAUGAUGAUACAAUUGUAGGAAAUGAGAACCUAAAAUUGUACAUCUUCGAGUAUUAUAAGAAACUUUUUGGUGCACCCGAAGAGAAUUUUGUUUUUCUGGAUUAGAGCACAACAAGUGACAUUCCUCAACCCAGUUCAGAUGAGAACGAGAUUUUGUCAGCCCCAUUUACGGAUGAAGAGAUGUUUGACGCAAUAUCACAAAUGAAGCAAAAUAAGGCACCGGGACCAGAUGGGUUUCUGAUGGAAUUUUAUAAAAAGUGUUGGCAUAUUAUUAAAGAUGAUAUUUGCAUAUGUUCCAUGAUUUGUUUAAUGGGUAUUUACAUCUAUUCCACCUUAACUUUGGAAUAAUAAUGGUGUUUCUAAAGAAGGUGGAGGCUAUUCGCAUUGAGAAGAUCAGGCUGACUGCUCAAUGCCAGCUUCAAAAAAUUUACAAAGGUUGGCACGAAUAGGUUGACAAAGAUAGCCCAUUCCGUAGUCCAAUCGACCGAGACAACUUUCAUGCAUGGAAGACAUAUCCUAGAAGGGUUCAUUGUUUUGCAUGAAAAGUUGCAUGAAAUACAUAAAAAGAAACUUGAUGGGCUUAUCUUUAAAGUGGAUCUCAAGAAGGCGUACGAUAAGGUCAAAUGGCCAUUUCUUCAACAAGCCUUGUGUAUGAAGGGAUUCAACGAAUCCUAGAGGGAUCAUGUGGGUGCUUUCAUUUAGAAAGGUAGAGUUGGGAUUAAAAUUAAUGAUGACAUAGCUCAUUAUUUUUAGACUCAUAAGGGAUUGAGGCACGGAGAUUUCAUGUCUCCCUUGUUGUUCAACAUAGUAGCAGAUAUGUUGGCACUCCUUAUUGAUCGGGCUAAAGAGAAUGGCCAAGUAGGAGGACUUCCUUGGGGAACGUCGCAUGGGAAACAAAAAAUUUCCUACGCGCACUAAUACGUCCAUUUUGCAUCAUUCUUUCAUGUUGAUAUUUAUUGUUUUUUCGGAUUUUAUAUUACUUCUGGUAGCAUAUUUAUGCCUCUUCUCUCUUAUUUUGCAAGGCUUAUUUGAAGAGGGAGAAUUCAGGCAGCUGGAAUUCAGGACUGGAAAAGGAGCAAAUCCUAGUCCACUAUUCUGCACAUCUCCAAAUACCCUGAAAAUUUACGUGGAUUUUUUCUGGAAUAUAUUAAAAAUACUGGGCGAAAGAACUACCGGAGGGGUCCACCAGGGCCCCACAAGCCCCCACUCCGCCACCAACCCCCCUGGUGGCGGUGGGCAAGCUUGUGUGCUGCCUGAAGGCCCACUAGCCCCCCUCUUUUGCUAUGUGAAGCGUCCUGACCUGGGAAAAAUCAUACGGGAGCUUUUUCGUGGUUUCGCCGUCGCCACGAGGCGGAACUUGAGCACAUCCAAUCUAGAGCUCCGGUAGGACGAUCCCGCCAGGGAAAUUUCCCUCCCGGAGGGGGGGAAUCGUCGCCAUCGUCAUCACCAACACUCCUCUCGUCGGAGGGGAGUCAUCUUCAUCAACAUGUUCAUCAGCACCAUCUCCUCUCCAAUCCCUAGUUCAUCUCUUGUAAUCAAUCUUCGUCUCGCGACUCCGAUUGGUACUUUUAAGGUUGCUAGUAGUGUUGAUUACUCUUUGUAGUUGAUGCUUGUUGGAUUACUUGGUGGAAGAGUUGAUGUUCAUAUCCUUGAUGCUAUUCAUUACACCUCUGGUCAUGAUUAUGAUUAUGUCUUGUGAGUAGAUACUUUUGUUCGUGAGGACAUGGGAUAAGUCAUGCUGAUAAUAGUCAUGUGAAUUUGAUAUUCGUUCGGUAUUAUGAUAUGAUGUAUGUUGUUUUCCCUCUAGUGGUGUUAUGUGAACGUCGACUACAUAACACUUCACCAUGUUUGGGCCUAGAGGAAGGCAUUGGGAAGUAGUAAGUAGAUGAUGGGUUGCUGGAGUGACACAAGCUUAAACCCCAGUUUAUGCGUUGCUUCGUGAGGGGCUGAUUUGGAUCCACUAGUUUAAUGCUAUGGUUAGACUUUGUCUUAAUUCUUCUUUUGUAGUUGCGGAUGCUUGCGAGAGAGGUUAAUCAUAAGUGGAUGCUUUUCCAAGUAAGGGCAGUACCCAAGCGCCGGUCCACCCACAUAUCAAACUAUCAAAGUAACGAACGUGAAUCAUAUGAACAUGAUGAAACUAGCAUGACAGAAAUUCCCGUGUGUCCUCGGGAGCGUUUUUCCUCCUAUAAGACUUUGUUCAGGCUUGUCCCUUGCUACAAAAGGGAUUGGGACACUUGCUGCACUGUUUCUACUACUUGUUACUUGUUACUCUUUGCUUGCUACGUUUCACCUCGCUACACAAUCACCUAUUACCGCUACUUUCAGUGCUUGCAGUUAUUACCUUGCUGAAAUCCGUUUAUCACAGCCUUCUGCUCCUCGUUGGGUUCGACACUCAUACUUAUCGAAAGGACUAUGAUUGAUCCCCUAUACUUGUGGGUCAUCAAGACUCUUUUCUGGCGCCGUUGCCGGGGAGUGAAGCGCCUUUGGUAACUGGAAAUUGGUAAGGAAACAUUUAUAUACUAUGCUGAAAUUUAUUGUCACUUGUCACUAUGGAAACUCUUCCUUUGAGGAGUUUGUUCGGGGUAUAUUCACCACGAACGGAAGCACGAGGAGUUGCUCCUCAACCUGAGGUACCUACUGAAAAUAUCUUUUAUGAAAUUGCUUUGGGUAUGCUUGAGAAACUGCUGGCUAAUCCUUUCACAGGAGAUGGAUCUUCACAUCCAGACUUUCAUCUAAUCUAUGUAGAUGAAGUUUGUGGUUUAUUUAAGCUUGCAGGUUUGCCCGAGGAUGAGGUAAAUAAGAAAGUCUUUCCUUUAUCUUUGAAGGAUAAGGAGUUGACAUGGUAUAGGCUAUGUGAUGAUGAUGGAUCAUGGGGCUACAAUCGGUUGAAAUUGGAAUUUCAUCAAAAGUUCUAUCCUAUGCAUUUAGUACAUCGUGAUCGGAACUUUAUUUAUAACUUUUGGCCUCGUGACAGGGAAAGCAUAGCUCAAGCUUGGGGAGGCUUAAAUCAAUGAUAUAUUCAUGCCCCAAUCAUGAGCUCUCGAGAGAAAUCAUCACUCAAAACUUUUAUGCUCGGCUUUCUCAUGAAGAUCGUACCAUGCUUGACACUUCUUGUGCCGAUUCUUUUAUGAAGAAGGAUAUUGAUCACAAGUGGAAUUUAUUGGAGAGAAUCAAACGCAACUCCGAAGAUUGGGAGUUGGAGGAAGGUAAGGACUCAGGUAUGAAUUUCCAGUUUGAUUGCGUUAAAUCUUUUGUUGAGACAAACACUUCUAGAGAUUUUAGCGCUAAGUAUGGACUUGACUCUGAGAUAGUAGCAUCUCUUUGUGAAUCUUUUGCUGCUCAUGUUGAACUUCCCAAAGAGAAGUGGCAUCCUCCUGUAGAAAGCAACAUAGCCUAAACCAAUCUAGUUGAGGAGAAAAUCAUAGCUUUUAGUGAUCCUGUUGUUCCUUGUGCUUACACUAAGAAACCACCAUCCCCUGCUAGAAUGAAGGAUUAUUCUAAAGCUCCAACUGUGAUAUGUAGGGGUUACAUUAGACCACUUGCACCCCCUGAGGAGAUUAGAGUUGAACCUAGUGUUGCUAUUAUCAAAGAUCUCUUAGCCGAAGACAUAGAUGGGCAUGUUAUUAAAUUCUGUGAGGACUCUGCUAGAAUUGCUAAACCUCACGCGAAAGACAAGCAUGGACCUGUAGUUGGCCUUCUCGUUGUUUCUGUUAAGAUAGGAGAUCACUGCUACCAUGGUUUAUGUGAUAUGGGAGCUAGUGUUAUUGCAAUACCCCGUUAUCUCUAUGAUGAAAUCAAAGAUGAGAUUGCACCUGCUGAGAUAGAAUCCAUUGAUGUCACUAUCACGCUAGCUAAUAGAGACACUAUCUGCCCUUUGGGAAUUGUGAGAGACGUAGAAGUCCUGUGUGGUAAGACGAAGUAUCCUACUGAUUUCCUCCUCCUCGGUACUGCACAAGAUAGCUUUUGUCCCAUCAUAUUUGGUAGACCCUUUCUCAACACUGUCAAUGCUCACAUUGAUUGCAUUAAGCAGACUGUCACAGUAAGUUUUGAGGGUGUGUCUCAUGAAUUUAACUUCUCCAAGUUUGGAAGACAACCCCAUGAAAGAGAGUCGUCUGGUAGAGAUGAAAUCAUUUCUCUUGCCUCUAUUGCCGUACCUCCUACGGAUCCUUUAGAGCAAUAUCUUGAGCAUGAAAAUGAUAUGCAUAUGGAGGAGAGAGAUGAGAUAGAUAGAAUUGUCUUAGAACAACAUCCUAUUCUCAAGAAUAAUCUGCCUGUUGAACUGCUUGGGGAUCCUCCCCCACCUAAGGGUGAUCCUGUGUUCGAGCUUAAAUAGUUGCCUGAUACUCUUAAGUAUGCCUAUCUUGAUGAGAAGGAUAUAUAUCCUGUCAUUAUCAGUGCCCUCCUCUCAGAGCUCGAAGAGAAGAAGUUACUAAAAACUCUGAGGAAGCACCGCGCUGCUAUUGGAUAUACUCUUGAUGAUCUUAAUUAAGGGUAUUAGUCCUACUCUAUGUCAGCACAAGAUUAAAACCGAUCCUGACUUUAAACCAGUUGCUGAUCAUCAAAGGAGAUUGAAUCCUAAGAUGAAAGAGGUCGUUAGAAAAGAAAUAUUAAAGCUUCUGGAAGCAGGAAUCAUUUAUCCUGUUGCUCAUAGUGAUUGGUAAGUCCAGUACAUUGCGUACCUAAGAAGGGAGGUAUCACCGUCGUUCCUAAUGAUAAGGAUGAACUAAUCCCACAAAGGAUUAUUACCGGCUAUAGAAUGGUGAUAGACUUCCGGAAACUGAACAAGGCAACCAGGAAAGAUCAUUAUCCUUUGUCGUUCAUCGACCAAAUGCUAGAAAGGCUAUCAAAACACACACACUUCUGCUUUCUAGACGGUUAUUCAGGUUUCUCGUAGAUACUUGUUGCACAAUCUGAUCAAGAGUAAACCACUUUCACCUGCCCUUUCGGUACCUUUGCCUAUAGACGUAUGCCUUUUGGCUUAUGCAAUGCACCCGCCACCUUCCAAAGAUGUAUGAUGGCUAUAUUCUCUGACUUCUGUGAAAAGAUUGUCGAGGUUUUCAUGGAUUACUUCUCCGUUUAUGGGUCUUCCUUUGAUGAUUGCCUCAGCAACCUUGAUGGAGUCUUACAGAGAUGCGAAGAAACCAACCUCGUCUUGAAUUGGGAGAAGUGCCACUUUAUGGUUAAUGAAGGUAUCGUCUUAGGACACAAAAUCUCUGAAAGAGGCAUUGAAGUUGAUAAGGCUAAGGUUGAUGCAAUUGAUAAAAUGCCUUGCCCCACAGAUAUCAGAGGUAUACGAAGUUUCCUAGGUCAUGCUGGUUUGUAUAGAAGGUUCAUUAAAGACUUAUCUAAGAUUUCUAGGCCUCUUACCAACCUCUUGCAGAAGGAUGUUCCUUUUGUUUUUGAUGAGGAUUGUGAGGAAGCCUUCGAAAUACUUAAGAAGGCUUUGAUAACCGCACCUAUUGUUCAACCACCUGACUGGAACUUGCCCUUUGAAAUCAUGUGUGUCGCUAGUGAUUACGCUGUUGGUGCUGUUCUAGGACAAAGAGUUGACAAGAAGUUGAAUGUCAUUCACUACGCUAGUAAAACUCUAGACAGUGCCCAAAGAAACUAUGUCACUAUGGAGAAGAAAUUUUUAGUAGUCGUGUUUGCAUGUGAAAAAACAGAUCUUACAUAGUUGACUCCAAAGUCACUAUUCACUCUGAUCAGUCUGCUAUUAAGUACCUUAUGCAGAAGAAGGAUGCUAAGCCUAGGCUGAUCAGAUGGGUUCUCCUGCUACAGGAAUUUGAUUUGCACGUCGUUGACCGAAAAGGUGCUGACAAUCCUAUAGCAGAUAACUUGUCUAGACUAGAGAAUGUCCGUGAUGACCCACUACCAAUUGAUGACAGCUUUCCUGAUGAGCAAUUAAAUGUCAUCCGCACUUCACUUAGUGCACCGUGGUAUGCCGAUUAUGCAAACUAUAUCGUAGCCAAAUACAUACCACCCAGUUUCACCUAUGAACAAAAGAGGAAAUUCUUCGUUGAUUUGAGACACUACUUCUGGGAUGAUCCUCACCUUUAUAAGGAAGGAGUAGAUGGUGUUAUUAGACGUUGUGUGCCUGAACAUGAACAGGGACAGAUCCUGCAGAAGUGUCAUUCCGAAGCCUACGGAGGACACCAUGCUGGAGAUAGAAUUGCCCAUAAGGUAUUGCAAUCAGGUUUCUAUUGGCCCACUCUCUUCAAGGAUGCCCGUAAGUUUGUCUUUUCUUGUGACGAAUGCCUAAGGAUAGGGAACAUCAGUAAGCGUCAAGAGAUGCCUAUGAACUAUUCACUUGUCAUUGAACCAUUUGAUGUCUGGGGCUUUGAUUAUAUGGGACCCUUCCCGAGUUCCGAUGGGUACACUCACAUCUUAGUUGCUGUGGAUUACGUUACUAAGUGGGUAGAAGCUAUCCCCACUAAAAAUGCUGAUCACCACACCUCUAUUAAGAUGCUUAAAGAAGUCAUAUUCCCAAGAUUUGGAGUCCCUAGAUACUUGAUGACUGAUUGCGAUUCACACUUCAUUCAUGGUGUUUUCCGCAAGAUGCUAGCUAAGUAUGAUGUCAACCAUAGAGUUGCAUCUCCUUAUCAUCCUCAGUCUAGUGGUCAAGUGGAGUUGAGUAAUAGGGAGAUCAAAUUGAUCCUACAAAAGACCGUCAAUAGAUCUCGAAAGAACUGGUCAAGCAAACUUGACGAUGCACUAUGGGCUUAUAGGACUGCUUAUAAGAAUUCCAUGGGCAUGUCACCGUAUAAAAUGGUUUACGGUAAAGUCUAUCAUUUACCUCUUGAGCUGGAACACAAAGCUUAUUGGGCAAUCAAAGAGCUCAACUUUGAUUUCAAACUUGCUGGUGAGAAGCGGUUGUUUGAUAUCAGCUCGUUGGAUGAAUGGAGAGCCCAGGCAUAUGAGAAUGCCAGGUUGUUCAAGGAAAAGGUUAAGAGAUGGCACGACAAACGAAUACAGAAACGAGAGUUCAAUGUAGGUGAUUAUGUCUUGCUAUACAAUUCUCGUUUGAGAUUCUUUGCACGCUAGCUUCUCUCUAAAUGGGAAGGUUCCUAUGUUGUCGAGGAAGUAUAUCGUUCCGGUGCCAUCAAAAUCAAUAACACGGAAGGAAAUUUUCCUAGAGUGGUAAAUGGGCAAAGAAUCAAGCAUUACAUCUCUGGUACUCCCAUAAAUGUUGAGACCAAUAUCAUCAAUGUCAUAACUCCAGAGGAGUACAUAAGGGAUGUUUAUCAGCCUGUUUCAGACCUUGAAAACGAAGAUGUAUCUGUUUCGGCAAGAAAUUGGACUCCGAUAUUUUGUACGCAAGUAUGCAUGAUUGAAUGAAUCAUGAUACGAUCAACGUAUUUUGGCAUUCACUUUCUACAUCUUGUUUUUGUUCUUUUUUUCUUGUUUCUAUCAUUGUGGCACUCGGAUGGAUGGCGACGCUUCUUUUUUGAGUUCAUCUUCCAGGCUUCGAUUCUCAUUAAGUCUGUCCGUCUGGACAUAGUCGACGGAGCUACUGCGUAGAAUCAUGUUGUCUUCUUCUCGUGACGAGGUUAUGGUUUCUCGUCAUAUGACGAGAUUUGGUGUCAUUGCUUCAGAUCAAUGAAAUGGUUCUAUAGCGACGACUACGGUCCCAGGGUUUGGUCCUUACGUGCAUCUGGAGGAAGAUAUCUCGGAUGUCAUCGUCAGUGUCAAGUUGGCUCCGGUAGGGGAGCGGUGACAGCGAUGCAUCGUCGACACGUUCUAUCAGUUAAGUGGUUAUUCGGUGGUUUCGGAAUCUCAUUCUAAUUUUUAUUAUGUUUGAGAUGCUUUGUAUUUUCGAUGAACGUUUAUAAAAGAUCUGAUACUUUGCUUAAAAAUGAAUGAAAAAUGAUCCUUCCCCAUCGACUCUACUUCCGCUGCGCUACGAGUCGGUAAUGAUCAGAUAAAACCCUGUAUGCAUCUCCUUAGUGGUCCUGGGCGUGCUCGUAGUACCGAAAUUUUUUGUUUUCUAUCGCGUUCCUCUACAGUGGAAUCAUGAGCUAAGCUAUGGGUAGAUGGAGGUUAUGAUCUAGAAUACAUGAGAUGUAUGGGUAUAGCAUAGUAUAAUUUUGUAGUAGAUGAGAUCUAUUGCUGAAAAUUAUAUGUGCGGGUAGUAGAUGAAAUCUAUUACCCAAUAUUCUUGUUGCUUCGCGUGAAUUUGUGUGGUCCUGAUCCUGACGGCAUGGUGGAAUCUUACAAAGUUUUGGCAAUCCGCGAUCCUUUCAUGCUGCUCUUGAGUAUGUUGAUUGAUAGAUCACCGAAGUGCUUCAGUGCUUUUGGGUUCCACCAUAGUUGAGAAAGAUGGAUGUUUCGCAGACGAAAGGGAAAUGCAGAUAUGAUCUGCACGGGGGUCAUGCAUAUGACGAAGUUUAGUAUGGGGCUUGAGCUUUUAUUAUCUCGUGUUUCAUACACCUUGGAAAGUUAAUCUAGCAACUUGAAUUAUUAUACCUGAUGAUGAACGUUGGUAGCUGCAGUUUAAGUCAAAAACAUAGAAGCCAUGUAAAAAUAAAAUUUUGCAUUAACCAAUUAGAGGCGUCUAACUUGAUUUUACAGAAUGUGCAUGAGAUGUGGUAUAACAAUUCUCAUAUUCAACUUGAUUACGUAUGAGAUGACUAUAUAAUGUAAAUUAACAUGACCUGUGUGUCAUGAUUCUGCAUGAUGGCUGGAGCCAUAUGAUUGUCACUUUAAUGACAUGUGUUUCGACAUUAAGUAAUGCAUUUAUUUUACCAGCUAUAGAGAUAGCAAUAUUAUUUGAUGCGUCGAAAAGGUGGUGGCAAUAUUAUCUGAUGUGUACAUAUAUUUGUGCUAACCCUUUUCAAGUAUCCACACAACAUUUUUUUAUAAAUUGUGUACUUUUUCUUGGGUUUUAACUCAUCCUAAGUUGUUGUUCCCAUGAUCUUCGUGGGAAACCGUCUACUAUGUAGCUUCUCAUCCUGAAAAAAGGACCAGUUUUUGUAAGGUUGUUGUGUUCUUGGUUCUUUCACAAAAGUAUUGACUAGAUACUCUGCCUCUUUCUCUGAUAUCGGGCUUUCAACUCUCUAGUUAGGGUCAAAGGCUUAGAAUGUUACUCAUUAUGUAAACGAAUAUAAGACAGUUUAGAUCACUAUUAGCAUCUAAAAUGUUAAUAGUGACUCCCUAUAUAAACCAACAAAAGAACCCUUACGUUCUUUAUAUCAAGAUGGCAUUAGCAAUAGAACACUUACGUUACAAUGGGGCAGAAAAAUACCGCACAUCCUUAAUCCAAUAACCAUGACUCAAGGCUGCAUUCGGUCCACGUGGAUACCGUUUGUGUUGCGGCUUAUCCUCAUUACAACCCUUGCCGACAGUGGCCUCAGUCCUCAAACAACCACAACACGUUUGAAUGUGAUCAAUCCUAACGUGUAUUGCUCUCUCUCGGCAUCAAAUGAGAAAUCUUCUUUAUUUUCCCCUUGCAAGGUUUUGUCGAGGCUUGCUUGCGAGGCUAUAGAUGAUUUGUUUUGUCUCCAAUGUGGUUUUGCUAAGGUGCGAUUUCUAUUCCGUUACUACACUGUUUUCAAAGAAAGACGAACCGUGAGCUAUUGAUUAAGAUGGCAACCUAAAUAAUAUUUUAAAAGUGUUUAACAGGUAAAACAAAAUCACAUUCAGAUUCUAUAAUUCUUCUAAUUAAUCUUCAUCUAUAACAUGUCAAAAUUGAAGUUCGGGUUUAAAAGAUAUGGAUGUUCUUAAAAGUAUUUUAAUCAGCCCAUGGAGUUUGGGUUUAUUGAACAAAAUAUCGUUCUGAAAAACAUAGAAGAUUUUCUGGAGUCACUCAAAACAGGACAGUGGGUCGUUUAACCGAAAGGUUAAGAAGUUUUCAGUUAAAAAAAUAAAUAUUUUUUAUAUUCACUUAAAACCAGGACCGUGCGUUGAUUUCAUGAAACAAUAGGGUUUUUUCUUUGCAAAAGGCGCGACGGAUGGGUAGAAACAUUUCUCCUUUUAUUAGUAGGUAAAGACUAGUGAUCAAGAAUGUAUUAUACUCCCUUCAUUUCUAAAUAUAAGUGUUUUUAGAGAUUUCACUAAAAACUAUAUACGGAUGUAUAUAGACACAAUUUAGAUUGUAGAUUCAUUCAUUUUGCUUAAUAAUGGAGGAAGUAUUAGUUUACAGAUGUAGUGUCUUUAUGUGGCUAGCGAAAUACCAACAAUAUCUACAUGAUUAAAUGGAUGUGCCUAUAUGUGCAAUUCAGAGAGCUUGAGAGAGCAAGUUUUGGAUGAAUCCACCUUACUAUAUCCUAGUACAUCCAUCACACGUACAGCUAGCUAGGGAACCCUGACGCAAUGACGUGCAUAUAUAGAUAUGAGGCAACCCUGCCGACAUGGAAAACUAUAUGUCCAUGUGAACACUUGACUGGUCAUACUACACUACAAGAAAAUAGAAUAACCACACACGCAAUGUAUAUCAGAAUACCAGCACCGCGUAGACUUCACUAAUUGCAUGACAGGUCGAUCGACUUGCAUGUCCCAUGGAAAUGACUGGCCUAGGAUCACAGCAGUGGGGUGUCAGUUCGUAAAAUUUAACUUAAGUACCAUCUUAGUUUUAACAAAUAGUCCUAAAAUGGCACAAAGUUGUCAGAGAAUUAUAGCGAAUAUAGUAUAAAGUAGUUUGCAUUUUUUAGAGGAGUGCCACAGCCAUGGCAGUAUGGCACCUCAAGAUCUGCAGCUGUUUCGUGUAUUGGAGCUAAAUAAUGAGUGCAACAUUUCGGUGUCCUCUGCAUCCGGUUAGGAAAAAAAUCAUAAAAAACUUCAAAAAAUGCCAAUAAAAUCAAAAAAAAUCUCAUGGUAGAAAAGUUUUUGCGUGAGGUCCGCUCCAAUUUUUAGAUUAUUUGAACAUCUGAUAAGCUCUCAGCAAAAAAGAUAAAUUGGAUCAGAACAGUGUAUGAACCAUAACUUUUUUAUGAACCCUGAAUUUGUCUUUUUUUCUGAGAGAUGCUGAGAUGUUUAAAUGAUUUAAAAACUGAAGGGGCCUUUACCAUCAAAUUAUCUACAACGUAAAAAAAUCUAGUAUUUGUUUUGAUUUUAUUUUCUUCGGCGCGGGGUGCAGAUGAGCCUGGGCUCGGAAGUGGAUUAUCGCUAAAUAAUAUGUUGUUUUGUCAAAAGAAAGAUAGGACCCCCAGCCUCUGCAACCUCUGCAUUAUGAUGAUGCACACAACCAUAUUUAUUAAAGUUGAUGUAAGGGGCAGAGAACAAAAUUAUCAAUAAGUGUAGUACAUAACUAUUACAAGAUGUGAAUUUAACACUUAGGACUAAAUCGACUUCUUUCGCAAGACUUCAGUAAGGAAAAGACGCCCUCACAUCAUCGUCAUCACAUUCGACCGGAGACGUCUAGGACACGAAUUUCCAUCCUAGUAGCCCAACCAAGGCCGGGCGGGUCGCUGUUGGAUAUGAAUCCUGCAACUACCCUUGUUGGGCCAGUGGCUCCAGUCGAAGGCGCGAGAUGGCACAACUGCCCCGUCUACUUUAACGGGACCAUGAAGGCGCCUCAAAGCGCCAGCAUCACUCGCCAUGAGGAGCUCUCGAAGAUGGACUUGAGAGAAGGGGAGCGCUUACACGAUUUUGCUCAAGGAGAGGGGGAGCGCUUACACGAUUUUGCUCAAGGAGAGGGUGCAUCGUAAAAUCGCACGGUCUCCUAGAUUAGGGGGUAUUAACCUGGUCGGUCCACGCUCCUCGAAUUGGGCCGAUGGGCCAUCAUCCUACUCGAGGUGGACUCCGGAAGCUGCACAUUGGGUGUUAUCAAGGUUACAUCUGCCGAAGGCUUGACAUAUACUUCAAGACUCCUCCUCCCGCCUCUAUGUUAGGAUACCGACCUUGUAGCCCUAGAUAUCCUACGUAGGGUUUUACCUUCAUCAAGAGGGCUCGAACCUGGAUAAACAUCGUCUCCCUGUUCCUGUUAUCAUUUGUCCAACAUCAACAGCUUGGGGCCUCCUACCCCGAGGUCUACCGGUUUUCACACCCACUGUGUUCUCUCAAGAAAAAAAUGCUAUAUUUUUUUAACCGGUCUAACCCCCUUUCCAUUACUUGAAUAACGAAAUACAUCAGAUCCUAGAGUUCAACAGGAGGAGGGAAAGGAGAUAGAGCGAGUUCAACCAUUGCUAGGAAACCCACUGUGACCGCUCGUCAUCGAAUCGAUCACUGCGAGACGAAAACCUAGCUACAAUAUCCUAGCGGGAGAAGUAUCAUUCCUAUUACAACCUAGGAAUAAUAGGUACAAAAGAGAUAAUAGACUAAACAGUUUUUAAGUAUGUCAGAACACCACAAAAAGACUGCCAGCAGCCACCCUUGCAAAAGUGCAUCGUCCCCAUACCUCCGCUGUUCAUCCACGGCCAGCAUUGCACAGCCUCAUCAGUGACACAGUCCCCGCCCGAACAACUUCAGUUCCGGUUCGCAUCCUCUUCAUGUCGCCUGCUGGCUGCAAACCUGCCCAAUAAAGAAGGAAAGAGCAAUCAGUAAACACAAUCUCAAAUGAAGAUUUGAUCGGUUUUUUCUCCAAGGUAGGUGGAUUCCGAGCUAACCAAAUAGCCCAGGUAAUUGCAGCCAAGCCCACCGUAUAGAAUUUAUCAUCUCCAGGCAUGAAACAAUGGGACCAGGCAAAGUAUUGUCAGUGGUUGUUGGGUCCAAAAUAUGUCCCCAAACAAACCCCAGCCGAACGCCAUAACGCCAUAACUCUACAAAAAAGUGAUAUAAUGUGUAACUAUUUUGUUCAAGUCGAGCAGAUGGACUCUAUCUUGCACCAUAGCGUUUAAGCAGUAUUGAAAUUAGGUCCGCCUAUACAUCAAGUAUCUUGGGAAAAAAAACUGCAUCGAUCAAUUUUCCCAGCAGUUGGAUGGCACGAUCGUGGCACCACCUAUUAUCGUUUUCGCCCCUCACAUCGUACCUCCGUUCGGCCUCGCACAAAACAAAUUGUGUCUGACGCAAAGAAAAAAUGUAGGUACCUGAUGUUUAUCUAAACAAAUUGUGUGUUGGAUUAACUACUUAUUAUACAACAAGCUGAAGGUAUGUGUCCAGCCGUGCCAACGAGCCCGUACGGAAGAUAUAAUAGACACAUGAAAUCAAAGACAUACAGCUCGGAUAUGCGUCUCCCGUGAACGUGAUGAUCAGGGUAAGCCAGCUCCUAGAGCUGCCNNNNNNNNNNACAGAUGGACUCUAUCUUGCACCACAGCGUUUAAGCAGUAUUGAAAUUAGGUCGAGCAUAUGGUUUUCGCCCCUCACAUCGUACCUUCGUUCGGCCUCGCACAAAACAAAUUGUGACUGACGCAAAAAAAAAAUUCAGGUACCUGAUGUUUAUCAAAUGUGUGGAAUUCUUCGUCGGCACAACCAAUGGCGUCCUGGAUUAACUAAUUAUUAUACAACAAGCUGAAGGUAUGUGUCCAGCCGUGCCAACGAGCCCGUACGGAAGAUAUAAUGGACACAUGAAAUCAAAAAACCAUACAGCUCGUAUAUGUGUCUCCCGUGAACGUGAUGAUCAGGGUAAGCCAGCUCCGAGAGCUGCCAUGCCAGAUAUAUAUAUUCCUUUGUCCGAUGCGAUGCUCUAGAUUAUUUUGGCUCCACACUCGUAAAUCCAUCAAAUAUUUAUGUGCACUCUGCAGCAGACAACAUGCACAUAGGAGUACUCUUCUUGAAAANNNNNNNNNNUUUGAGAGCUCCCGUGAACCUUUGUCCGAUGUGAUGCUCUAAAUUAUUUUGGCUCCACACUCGUAAACCCAUCAAAUAUUUAUUUGCACUCUGCAGCAGACAACAUGCACAUAGGAGUACUCUUCUUGAAAACUAAAGGAAAGUCUCGUGGCACAGCUCUCAGGUUUUUGUUCAUUAGCGAACACAUUAAGCUCUAAUGAUGGAUGUCACACGUAACAUGCCAGUACAAUAAUGGUUGCACAUGAGUUUUGGAAAUUACCACGGCAACAGGCAAACUAACUACGUCGAUUGAUAAUGACAUGAACGAGGCACUUGCACNNNNNNNNNNCAAUGAUGGAUGUCACACACGUAACAUGCCAGUACAAUAAUGGUUGCACAUGAGUUUUGGAAAGUACCACGGCAACACGCAAACUAACUACGUCGAUUGAUAAUGACAUGAACGAGGCACUUGCACNNNNNNNNNNCUCGAUUGAUGAUGACAUGAAGGCACUUGCACACCACACCCGGUCUAUAAGUACCACCCCCAAACAACCCAAGAAAACCAUCCCAAGCUAGCAUACCCUACAAGCUUAAUUAGCCACAUACCAGCACAAACGAUCAGUAGCAAUNNNNNNNNNNUCUGUCCCAACAGCACUUGCACACCCCACCCGGUCUAUAAGUACCACCCCAAACAACCCAAGAAAACCAUCCCAAGCUAGCAUAGCCUACAAGCUUAAUUAGCCACAUACCAAAGGGCCUCCUGCCUGGGCUCACCGCACCGGCCACGUGGAGGCCCAUCUGUCCCGGUUUAUGCAAGAACCGAGACUAAAGGUUUAGGGCAUUAGUACCGACACUUUAGUCCCGGUUCAAAAAACGGGACAAAUGGCCCUCACGAACCGGGACAAUAGGUCCUUUUUCUACUAAUGGGAUAAGCUCUUUUGCAUUGUAGCUCGCUGGACGGUGUGGUUUAACUUUAGGUUUGUCCUUGUGAUGUUCGUGCUAUGCAUCAAGUGAUAGCUNNNNNNNNNNNNNNNNNNNNNNNNNNNNNNNNNNNNNNNNNNNNNNNNCUGGACACAUGGAAUCAAAACCGUACGAGACUCCUAUAUGUGUCUCCCGUGAACGUGAUGAUCAGGGUAAGCCAGCUCCUAGAGCUGCCAUGCCAGAUAUAUGUAUAUAUUCCUUUGUCCGAUCCGGUGCUCCAGAUUAUUAUGGCCACACUUGUAAGCCCAUCAAAUAUUUAUGUACACACAGCAGACAACAUGCAUAUAGGAGUANNNNNNNNNNAUGGACACAUGGAAUCAAAAUCGUACGACUCCUAUUUGUGUCUCCGUGAACGUGAUGAUCAGGGUAAGCCAGCUCCUAGAGCUGCCAUGCCAGAUAUAUCUAUUCCUUUGUCCGAUCCUGUGCUCCAGAUUAUUAUGGCCACACUUGUAAGCCAUCAAAUAUUUAUGUACACACAGCAGACAACAUGCAUAUAGGAGUACUCUUCUUGGAAACAAAAGGAAACUCUCAUGGCACAGCUCUCAAGUUUUUGUUCAUUAGCGAACAGAUUAAGCUCCAAUGAUGGAUGUCACACCCGUAACAUGCGAGUACAAUAAUGGUUGCACAUGAGUUUUGGAAAUUACCACGGCAAGAUUGAAACUAAUUACGUCGAUUGAUAAUGACAUGAACGAGGCAUUUGUUGGAAAUAAGUCGUGACGGAGCACGGUGCGACCGGCGUCGAUGCGUCGGGUCGGGUCCGUGACGGUGCGACCGACGUUGGUGCGUCGGGUCGGGUUCCGCAGGCUGGGUUACGACAACAUUGUGUGCAUGUACGUGUGGCGUGUGUGUAGUGCAGCGCAAAGCGUGCGUGGUCGCCAAGGCAGCUCGAGCUGGCCGUUAGCACGUUGUGCGCCUCGUGCGUGCUGGCCGGGCGGAUCGCUAGCUCUAGGUGCGUGCGUGCGUAGGAGACGUGGACGCUGCGUACCUGUAGGACUACAAAGCCGCGGACGCGAACAUGUAUUCAUCAGGGAAAGGAAGCAAAGUGGCUGUGUGUGCGGCCAGGCGUUAGUCGCCGGAAAAACUCCAGUGUGCAUUCUCCUUUCUUCUACCUCUGUCCAGUUGUGUGUGAGAGANNNNNNNNNNUCGAGUUCGUCGCUUGCCGCGCCGGGCAGGAGAACGAGAGGAAGAAGAAGAGAAAUGGAUGAUUUGGUUCGAAAUUUUCUAACUCCCGCUUAUACAGGUGGAUCUACAGUCCCGAUUCGUGGCUCGAUCCGGGACUAAAGAUCCUUUAGUCCCGGAUGGAGCCACGAACUGGGACUAAAGGCCCUUUUUCGGCUGACCAGAAGGCGGGAAGCAGGGGCCUUUAGUCCCGGGGCGUGGCUCGAACCGGGACUAAAGACCACUUUAGUCCCGGGUGGAGCCACGACCCGGGACUAAAGCCCCUUUUUCGGCUGACCAGAAGGCGGGAAGCAGGGGCCUUUAGUCCCGGGGCGUGGAAAGAACCGGGACUAAAGUUUUGCCUAUAUAAACCCUCGCCCCUGCCCACCAUAUCCCCUGUUUUUUGGUUGUUGAAGUGUGACCAUGCCAUGCUCUUGCCACUCUAGUUCAUGCACAUGACGUGUUCGAUGAAAUGCUCGAGCCACUCUACUUAAGCUUUCUCCUCUCCAAGCUCGACCUCCAAGCUCCAUUUUCCUUAAUAUUUGUCUAGGUUUGGCCGUGCACCAACUGCGAGCACCACCGUGGUGAGCCUCUUGUUCUUAUCUUCUUUUUAAAAUUAAAAAAAUCUUACUUGUAUGAAUUAUAUACAUACUUGUAUAAAUUACUCACUUUCAUUAUUUUUUGUUAUGAUAUAGUGCGAUGGUUUUGGUAUCCGCCUCCGUCGGCCCUCGUCCUGUCUAUGAUUCGGAUGUGGUAUAUAUUAUAUUUUAUAACUAUUUGUUUUAUUUAGUGUUUAUGACAAUUAUGACAUAUAUUUUUUAAUCUAGGAGGUAUGUGAACCGGAAAUUCCAACCCACAUAAAAAUUCUUGUCGAGAAGUUCAAUUUGGUUGAAAAAGAAAACAAAUACUUGAAGAAAAAAUUGAAAAUAAUUGAGGAUAAGAAUAUGGAACUGGAGUUGCAUGUCGCCGAUGUCAUCGAUGAUUGCAAGAUGAAGAUCGAUGCGAUGCGGUUGAAGAUGGAUGCAAUGCGCUUGAAGAUGGAUGAAAUGCGCUUGAAGAUUAGGAAUAUUAGAAAAUAUGCCAUUGAUAAGGAGGUUGGUAUCAUUAUGUUGUUGGGUCAAUUGUUACCUUAGUGCGAUUUUGAUCGCGUUUGUUGUUGCAUUUAAAUGUUUUACAUAGUUGUAUGUUGUUUCAUGAGAGAACUUUAUGUAUUUAUUUUUUGCAAUAAUAACAUUUGGUCACUACUGUUCUUUGGCUUUAAUGUGAUGAUGAACUUGUAUUAAUUUGGUCAUAUGUUUUGCAAUGGUUUUUUAAUAUAUUUGAUUUCAUAAUAGAGAUGAAUCGCCAAUGAUAAUAUUUAAUUUCAUAAUAUGGUUUUUUGAACUCCAUAAAAAGUUGAGAGGGCUACGACAAAAACUAGAUGCACUUCGUGUACAAAACGGACAAUCUCUCUCGAAGUAUCAGGGUUUCGAACGAGAACUUGUCUCUUACAAAGGGAUUUCAUUUUUGUGAACUUAUUUGAACUCCAUACUUUUUGGUGUGUUCAAAAUGCACCAUUCAAAGGCACAACACAAAAUUUCAACAAUUUCUGACUUCAUUUGGUAUAUUUCGUGGAUUUACUUAUUUGUUUUGAGCUAGUUGACCCUGAAAUUGAAAAGCACUACAAAUGAACUCUGAAAAUGUUGAAAGUUGGCAUGCUAUCAUCAUUUCACCCACAUAGCAUGUGCUAAAAAGUUGAGAGGGCUACGACAAAAACUGGAUGCACUUCGUGUACAAAACGGACAAUCUCUCUCGAAGUAUCAGGGUGUCGAACGAGAACUCAUCUCUUACAUGGAUAAUAUGAAAAUGAAAAGUGUUUGAAAUUUAGUACGUUCCAUACAUGCAUUACAUAAAAGGUUUAAUANNNNNNNNNNUUGGAUGCACUUCGUGUACAAAACGGACAAUCUCUCUCGAAGUAUGAGGGUUUCGAACGAGAACUCAUCUCUUACAUGGAUAAUAUGAAAAUGAAAAGUUUUUGAAAUUUAGUACGUUCCAUACAUGCAUUACAUAAAAGGUUUAAUACAUUAUUACAUUAUUGCACCAAUAUUCCUAUCUAUUAUUUCUGUUUUAUUCUGGGUCAUAGCCAUGGAGAAUCUUCAUCAUUCAUUAGGAUGCUUGGGUCAUUUUUCACUUUGAAGGGCGGAAUUUCAUGAAACUUAUUAUAAUCUUCUGNNNNNNNNNNCUUUUCUUCUGGGUCGUAGCCAUGGAGAAUCUUCAUCAUUCAGUAGGAUGCUUGGGUCAGUUUUCACUUUGAAGGGCGGAAUUUCAUGAAACUUAUUAUAAUCUUCUGACAUGUCUGUCUUGUCAUCUACUCCCACGAUGUUUCUUUUCCCUGAAAGAACCAUGUGGCGUUUUGGCUCAUCGGAUGAUAUCUUCUUUUGCUGAUUUCUUUUUCUCGUUAAUGUAGACAUGUCCUUCACAUAGAAAACCUGAGCGACAUCAUUGGCUAGGACAAAUGGUUCGUCCAUGUACGCAAGAUUGUUAAGAUCCACUGUUGUCAUGCCGUACUUUUGGUCUACAACUAACCCGCCUCCUCUCAGUUUCACCCAUUUGCACCGAAAUAAAGGAAUCAUAAAAGUAGGUCCAUAGUCAAGUUCCCAUAUCUCCUCUAUGUACCCGUAAUAUGUUUCCAAACAGUGCCCAUUCUCGUCUGUUGCAUCAAAGCAUACACCACUAUUUUGGUUGGUGCUCUUUUUAUCUUGGGCAACCGUGUAAAAUGUAUUCCCAUUUAUCUCAUACCCUUGCAAAGUACAUAUAGUCGAAGAUGGUGGCCUGGCCAAACAGUACAGCUCAUCUCCAACGGUGUCGUCAUUCAGGAGAUGUGUCUGCAACCAACUNNNNNNNNNNGAAAGUACAUAUAGUCGAAGAUGGUGGCCUGGCCAAACAAACAACUCAUCUCCAACGGUGUCGUCAUUCAGGAGAUGUGUCUGCAACCAACUGCCGAAAGUCUUCUCGUGUUCCCCUUUAAUCCAAGAGUCAGCCUUCCCCGGGUUUUCGGAGCGUAGAAUAUUCUUGUGUCUCACGAUAUACGGAGCCACCAUGGUGGAAUUGUGUAGAACUGUGUAGUGUGCUUGAGAGAAAGAAUGCUCGUCCAUACAUACUUUUGCUUUCCUUCCUAGUGUGCCUUUUCCUGUCAGCCUACCCUCAUACCGAGAUUCAGGAACACCAAUCGGCUUAAGGUCAGGAAGAAAGUCCACACAAAACUCAAUGACCUCCUCUGUUCCAUAGCCCUUGGAGAUGCUUCCUUCUGGCCUAGCACGGUUACGAACAUAUUUCUUUAAGACUUCCAUGGACCUCUCGAAGGGGAACAUAUUGUGUAGAAACACAGGACCGAGAAUUCUAAUCUCUUCGACUAGGUGAACUAGGAGGUGUGUCAUUAUAUUGAAGAAGGAUGGCGGGAACAACAACUCAAAGCUGACCAGACAUUGGACCACAUCAAUCUGUAACCCUGAUAGACUUUCUCGAUCGAUUACCUUCUGAGAAAUUGCAUUGAGGAAUGCACAUACCUUCACAAUUGCCAGGCGAACAUUUUCCGGUAGAAUUCCCCUCAAUGCAACCGGAAGCAAUUGCGUCAUAAGCAUGUGGCAGUCAUGAGACUUUAGGUCUUGGAAUUUUUUGUCUUUCAUAUUUAUGAUUCCCUUUAUAUUCGACGAGAAGUCAGUCAGGACCUUGAUACUGAAAAGGACUUCAAAGAAGAUUUCCUUCUCUUCCUUAGUAAGAGCGUAGCUGGCACGCCCUUGAAACUGCCCUGGAUGCAUGCCAUCUCUUCCUUUAUGACGUUCCUGGUCCUCCCGUGCUUCCGGUGUAUCUUUUGACUUCCCAUACAAGCCCAGGAAGCCUUGAAUAUUCACGCAGAGAUUCUUCGUCAGGUGCAUCACGUCGAUUGCCGAGCGGACCUCAUGGACUUCCCAGUAGGGUAGCUCCCAAAAUAUAGAUUUCUUCUUCCACAUGGGUACGCGCUUAUCAGGGCCGUUAGGAACAGGUUGGCUGCCAGGACCCUUUCCAAAGAUUACUUUUAAAUCUUUGACCAUAUCAAAUACUUCAGCACCAGUACGGAUGACAGGCUUCCCCCGGGGUUCUGCCUUGCCAUUGAAAUGNNNNNNNNNNAGACCCUUUCCAAAGGUUACUUUUAAAUCUUUGACCAUAUCAAAUACUUCAGCACGAGUACGGAUGACAGGCUUCCCCCGGGGUUCUGCCUUGCCAUUGAAAUGCUUGACUUUUUUCUUUAAGGGAUGCUUGGGCGGAAGAAAACAACGAUUGUACGGAUACACAUUCUUCCUACAGUUGUCGAGAUAUAUACUUUCUGUCUGAUCCAAACAGUGCGUGCAUGCAUUGUAUCCCUUGUUUAACUGUCCUGAAAUGUUACUAAGAGCAGGCCAAUCAUUGAUGGUUACGAAAAGCAACUCUCGAAGGUCAAAUUCCUCUUGUUUGUGCUCGUCCCACACACGUACACCUGGUUCGGCCCACAGCUGUAAAAGUUGAUCAACUAAUGGCCUUAGGUACACAUCAAUAUCGUUGCCGGGUUGCUUUAGACCUUGUAUAAGCACUGGCAUCAUAAUAAACUUCCGCUUCAUGCACAACCAAGGAGGAAGGUUGUAGAUACAUAGAGUAAUGGACCAGGUGUUGUGACUGCAACUCUGCUCCCCAAAAGGAUUCAUGCCAUCUGUACUCAGACCUAACCAUAAGUUCCUUGCGUCUGCUGCAAAUCUCGGGAACUCUCUCUUGAUUUUUCUCCACUGCCGACCAUCAGCGGUGUGCCUCAACUUAUCGUCUUUCAUACAAUCUUCCAUGUGCCAUCGCAACAACUUCGCAUGAUCUUUAUUUCUGAACAGACGUUUCAACCGUGGUAUUAUAGGAGCAUACCACAUCCCCUGGCAGGAACCGUCUUCCUGGGUGGCUCGCCCUCAAUAUCACCAGGGUCAUCUUUUCUGAUCUUAUACCGCAAUGCAGUCUAUACCGGGCAUUUAUCCAUAUUCUCGUACUUCUCACCUCGGUAGAGGAUGCAUUCAUUAGGGCAUGCAUGUAUCUUCUGCACGUCUAAUCCUAGAGGGCAGACAAGCUUCUUUGCUUCGUACGUGCUGGCGGGCAAUUCGUUCUUUCUUGGAAGCAUCUUCUUCAUCAGUACCAGCAACUUUUCGAAUGACGAGUCAGUCACACCGGUCUCUGUCUUCCACUUCAGCAAUUCCAGUGUGCUACCCAGCUUCUUCUGGCCAUCUUCACAAGUUGGGUACAACAAUUUGUUGUGGUCCUGUAACAUCUGCUCGAACUGCAACCUCUCCUUUUCUAUGUCGCAACCUCGCCGUGCAUCAGAAAUGACCCGGCCAAGAUCAUCAGCGGGCUCAUCUGGUUCCCGUUCUUCAUCCUGAUCUUCUUCUUCAUUGUCUUGCAUUGCGGUAUCAGCAUACUCAGGGAACAUAGAUCGGUAGUUGUCAUCAUCGUUCUCUUCUUCUUCAUCGUCGCCUUCCAUCAUAACCCCUCUUUCUCCGUGCUUGGUCCAAACAUUAUAGCCCGACAUAAAACCGGACCGAAGCAGGUGGCUCUGAAUGACUCUUGAGGAAGUGUAAUCCUUCCAAUUCGACAUUCAACACAUGGACAAAACAUAUAGCCACCACCAUGCUUGUUCGCAUUGGCUGCAUCUCGAAAAGAAUGCACGCCUUCUCUGUAAGCGGCUGUGCGUCGAUCACCGUACAUCCAUGGAUGGCUCAUCUCUGCGUUAUACGACAGUAUAUCAAAUACAAUCACGAUCCUAAAAAUUAGUACCGCACGAUCUAAACGAGGAAAUAUAGUUGCUAACCUUUUAGAAUAAGUAGAAAUAAAGAGGAAGAGGUUUAAGCGUGGCUUGGGCAUCUCAUAUCGUAGUUGUAUUCGGUGAACUGAAGCGGCAUCGCUCUAACACACAUUUCAACAAACACCUCUAGUGCAUAAAAAAAAGUGGAGAGCAAGCACCCACCCACAAUCCUCCAUCCAAUAAAAAUGCAACGAAGAGGGGAGAGGGGGGCUGUGCUAUAUAUAGGCAGAGGACUUUAGUCCCGGUUUGAGACACAAACCGGGACUAAAGGUGGCGCACAUGCGGGCUGCCCACCGCGUAGCCCUUUACUCCCGGCUUGGGACACGAACCGGGACUAAAGGCUCCUUACGGGCCGGGACUAAAGCCUCGAGGGAGGAUAUGAGAAUUGGGGCGACGUAGCCGGGCCUUUAGUUCCGGCCCAGAGGCAGGCCGGGACUAAAGGGUACAGGCCAAAGGCCCGGUUUCUACUAGUGUAUGUGUCCAGCCCUGCCAACGAGCCAGUAUAAUACACCAGAGUACGAAAGAUAUAAUAUACACAUGAAAUCAAAACCAUACAGCUCUUAUAUGUGUCUCCCGUGACCGUGAUGAUCAGGGUAUGCCAGCCCCUAGAGCUUCCAUGCCAGAUAUAUUCCUUUGUCCGAUGCUAUGCUCCAGAUUAUUAUGGCCACACUUGUAAACCAAUCAAAUAUUUAUAUGCAAACAGCAGACAACAUGCAUAUAGGAGUAUCUUCUUGGAAACUAAAGGAAACUCUCAUGGCACAGCUCCCAGGAUUUUGUUCAUUAGUGAAGAGCAGAUUAAGCUCCAAUGAUGAAUGUCACACACGUAACAUGCCAGUACAAUAAUGGUUGCACAUGAGUUUUGGAAACUACCACGGCAAGAAUGAAACUAAUUACCUCGAUUGAUAAUGACAUGAACGAGGCACUUGCACACCACACCCGGUCUAUAAGUACCACCCCCAAACAACCCAAGAAAACCAUCCCAAGCUACCAUAGCCUACAAGCUUAAUUAGCCAUAUACCAGCACGAUCCAUCAGUAGCAAUGGCGCCUUCCAAGCUCGCCUUCUUCCUCGCUCUGAACCUGGUCCUCCUUGCCGCCGUGCAGGGCUGCGGUCCCUACUGCCCACCGGUCNNNNNNNNNNGGCGCCCUCCAAGCUCGCCCUCUUCCUCGCCCUGAACCUGGUCCUCCUUGCCGCUGUGCAGGGCUGCGGCCCCUACUGCCCACCGGUCGUCCCCACCCCGCCGAUCCUCCCACCACCCGUGCCGUCGACCGACGGAGGCAGCUGCUCGAUCAACACGCUGAAGCUGGGCGUGUGCACCAACGUGCUGAACCUGCUGAAGCUUAAGAUUGGCGUGCCGGCGAACGAACAGUGCUGCCCACUCCUGGGCGGGCUCGCCNNNNNNNNNNGCUGCUCGAUCAACACGUUGAAGCUGGGCGUGUGCGCCAACGUGCUGAACCUGCUGAAGCUCAAGAUCGGCGUGCCGGCGAACGAGCAGUGCUGCCCACUCCUGGGCGGGCUCGCCGACCUCGACGCCGCGGUGUGCCUCUGCACCGCCAUCAGGGCCAACAUCCUCGGCAUCAAGCUCAACGUCCCCAUCGACCUGACCCUCCUCCUCAACCAGUGCGGCAAGAAGUGCCCAACCAACUUCACCUGCCCCAUCUGAUGCAUCCAUCCAUUGCAUGGGCUCCCUCGCUCGUGCAUGCAUGCUUGAUAAGCUCGUGAUUGAUCAUCAGGGUCAUUGUAUCCCGUUAUGGUAUCUAAAUGCACGAUUUGCAUAUUUGUAAAAGGAUAUACAUACUUGUACACGCACCUUGGAAUAUAAAAUUUGUUCAAGUUGGGGUUUUCUCUCUUCCCUCUCGGCUGGAACCCUAGCCCUCCUCGUCAAGAGAAAAGAUCAUCCUAGUGUAUGUAGCUUAGUAAAUAUACCCUAGCCCUCCUCGGCACAAAAAAUCUUAUGUAACUUAGGAACAAGGCAGGAUCUAAGAAUCAUUUUUNNNNNNNNNNCAACACGUUGAAACUGGGCGUGUGCGCCAACGUGCUGAACCUGCUGAAGCUCACUCCUGGGCGGGCUCACCGACCUCGACGCUGCCGUGUGCCUCUGCACCGCCAUCAGGGCCAACAUCCUCGGCAUCAAGCUCAAUGUCCCCAUCGACCUCACCCUCCUACUCAACCAGUGCGGCAAGAAGUGCCCCGCCAACUUCACCUGCCCCAUCUGAUCCAUCUAUCCAUGGAUUUACUCGUAGCUAUAUAUUGCAUGUCAUACGCGCGCACCAUAUGUCAGGAC